rnacentral:rRNA from 1 species
CAGAGCCUGAAUCAGUGUGUGUGUUAGUGGAAGCGUCUGGAAAGGCGCGCGAUACAGGGUGACAGCCCCGUACACAAAAAUGCACAUACUGUGAGCUCGAUGAGUAGGGCGGGACACGUGGUAUCCUGUCUGAAUAUGGGGGGACCAUCCUCCAAGGCUAAAUACUCCUGACUGACCGAUAGUGAACCAGUACCGUGAGGGAAAGGCGAAAAGAACCCCGGCGAGGGGAGUGAAAAAGAACCUGAAACCGUGUACGUACAAGCAGUGGGAGCACGCUUAGGCGUGUGACUGCGUACCUUUUGUAUAAUGGGUCAGCGACUUAUAUUCUGUAGCAAGGUUAACCGAAUAGGGGAGCCGAAGGGAAACCGAGUCUUAACUGGGCGUUAAGUUGCAGGGUAUAGACCCGAAACCCGGUGAUCUAGCCAUGGGCAGGUUGAAGGUUGGGUAACACUAACUGGAGGACCGAACCGACUAAUGUUGAAAAAUUAGCGGAUGACUUGUGGCUGGGGGUGAAAGGCCAAUCAAACCGGGAGAUAGCUGGUUCUCCCCGAAAGCUAUUUAGGUAGCGCCUCGUGAAUUCAUCUCCGGGGGUAGAGCACUGUUUCGGCAAGGGGGUCAUCCCGA